rnacentral:rRNA from 1 species
CCUACGGGUGGCAGCAGUGGGGAAUAUUGCACAAUGGGGGAAACCCUGAUGCAGCAACGCCGCGUGAGUGAAGAAGGCAUUCGGGAUGUAAAGCUCUAUCAGCAGGGAAGAAAAUGACGGUACCUGACUAAGAAGCCCCGGCUAACUACGUGCCAGCAGCCGCGGGAAGACGAAGGGGGCAAGCGUGAUCCGGAUUUACGGGGUGUCAAGGGAGCGGAGACGGCGACUCAAGUCUGACGUGAAAUGCCAUUGCUCAACCCUGGAACUGCUUUGGAAACUGUGUGGCUAGAGUGCAGGAGAGGUAAGUGGAAUUCCUUGUGUAGCGGUUACCUGCGUAGAUAUUAGG